GACGAACGCUGGCGGCGUGCUUAACACACGCAAGUCGAACGAUGAAGUUCGGACGGAGGCUUCGGCCAACUGAAGAACGGAUUAGUGGCGGACGGGUGAGUAACGCGUGAGUAACCUGCCUUUCAGAGGGGAAUAACAUUUGGAAACGAAUGGUAAUACCGCAUAAAGUCACGGAACCGCAUGAUUCUGUGACCAAAGGAGCAAUCCGCUGAAAGAUGGACUCGCGUCCGAUUAGCUAGUUGGAGAGGUAACGGCUCCCCAAGGCGACGAUCGGUAGCCGGACUGAGAGGUUGAACGGCCACAUUGGGACUGAGACACGGCCCAGACUCCUACGGAGGCAGCAGUGGGAAUAUUGCACAAUGGGGGAAACCCUGAUGCAGCAACGCCGCGUGAAGGAAGACGGUCUUCGGAUUGUAAACUUUGUCUUAGUGAGAAAAAUGACGGUAGCUAAGG
rnacentral:rRNA from 1 species